GCAAGUCUACUUGAAGCUACUGCUUGCGGUAGUGGAUGGUGGCGAACGGGUGAGUAACGCGUAGACAACCUACCAUUUAAAGAGGGAUAAUUCACUGAAAAGAGGACUAAUACCUCAUGUGCUCUUCGAUUGGCAUCAAUUGAAGAGGAAAGACUGCGGUCGUUAAAUGAUGGGUCUGCGUAUCAUUAGUUAGUUGGUAAGGUAACGGCUUACCAAGACAUCGAUGAUUAGCUGGUCUGAGAGGAUGAUC
rnacentral:rRNA from 1 species